UAGAGGUUCUAUUCAUUCUAUUUACCAGUCAUAUUACCAGGGUUAUAGGUUCUAUUCAUUCUAUUUACCAGUCAUAUUACCAGGGUUAUAGGUUCUAUUCAUUCUAUUUACCAGUCAUAUUACCAGGGUUAUAGGUUCUAUUCAUUCUAUUUACCAGUCAUAUUACCAGGGUUAUAGGUUCUAUUCAUUCUAUUUACCAGUCAUAUUACCAGGGUUAUAGGUUCUAUUCAUUCUAUUUACCAGUCAUAUUACCAGGGUUAUAGGUUCUAUUCAUUCUAUUUACCAGUCAUAUGACCAGGGUUAUAGGUUCUAUUCAUUCUAUUUACCAGUCAUAUUACCAGGGUUAUAGGUUCUAUUCAUUCUAUUUACCAGUCAUAUUACCAGGGUUAGAGGUUCUAUUCAUUCUAUUUACCAGUCAUAUUACCAGGGUUAUAGGUUCUAUUCAUUCUAUUUACCAGUCAUAUUACCAGGGUUAUAGGUUCUAUUCAUUCUAUUUACCAGUCAUAUGACCAGGGUUAUAGGUUCUAUUCAUUCUAUUUACCAGUCAUAUUACCAGGGUUACAGGUUCUAUUCAUUCUAUUUACCAGUCAUAUUACCAG